rnacentral:rRNA from 1 species
GACGAACGCUGGCGGCGUGCUUAACACAUGCAAGUCGAACGGAAAGGCCCUGCUUUUGUGGGGUGCUCGAGUGGCGAACGGGUGAGUAACACGUGAGUAACCUGCCCUUGACUUUGGGAUAACUUCAGGAAACUGGGGCUAAUACCGGAUAGGAGCUCCUGCUGCAUGGUGGGGGUUGGAAAGUUUCGGCGGUUGGGGAUGGACUCGCGGCUUAUCAGCUUGUUGGUGGGGUAGUGUCUUACCAAGGCUUUGACGGGUAGCCGGCCUGAGAGGGUGACCGGCCACAUUGGGACUGAGAUACGGCCCAGACUCCUACGGGAGGCAGCAGUGGGGAAUAUUGCACAAUGGGCGGAAGCCUGAUGCAGCAACGCCGCGUGCGGGAUGACGGCCUUCGGGUUGUAAACCGCUUUCGCCUGUGACGAAGCGUGAGUGACGGUAAUGGGGAAAGAAGCACCGGCUAACUACGU